CUGCUGGGAAUUGUAGUUUCCCUUUUAAAUGGAGGUUUGACUUUGAGAGGCCCUCCCACUUCCAAAAUGUACGGCAACCACCGCGGCUUGGACCUGAGCUUGUAGGUGUGAGUGAUUACCUUAGUUCGCGGUCUGCGGGAGAAACAUGGAUCCCUUGCUGUGAAGAACUGGAGGGGCCGCGAAUACGCGUGAGAGGCCAAGACAGCCCCUUCAAGCACCCGAGGGAAAAAUAGAAAGGAAUCUGUGGGAAACCCCCAAGAGGCAGGGCGUCCAUUCCCCGCAGCUGUCAGGGGACUCCUCCGCUUCUUUCAGCCGAGCACCAUGCUCUUGCCUGCCUGCAAGGCUUCCCGUCAAGCACAUCGUUAUCUUUCUGCAUUGAAGUCAGUGAGAAAAGAGUGCCUUUUGCCAUUGUCUGCUACAAGAUGGUCGUCUUCUUCGACUGUGCCUCGUAUCACCACCCACUAUACCAUUCACCCCCGGGACAAAGACAAACGAUGGGAAGGGGUAAACAUGGAAAGAUUUGCAGAGGAAGCUGAUGUUGUGAUAGUUGGAGCAGGCCCUGCAGGACUUGCUGCUGCUAUUCGACUCAAGCAGUUAGCUAGUGAACAUGGCAAAGAAAUUCGUGUGUGCCUGGUGGAGAAAGCUGCUCAGAUUGGUGCACAUACACUUUCUGGGGCUUGCCUUGAGCCACGUGCCUUGGAGGAACUUUUCCCAGACUGGAAAGAGCGAGGGGCUCCAUUACAUACUUCAGUAACAGAAGACAAAUUUGGAAUAUUAACAAAGAAGCACAGAAUCCCAGUUCCCAUUCUUCCAGGUCUUCCAAUGACUAAUCAUGGGAAUUACAUAGUUCGUUUAGGAUAUUUUGUCAGUUGGCUGGGUGAACAAGCUGAAGCACUUGGUGUUGAAGUCUAUCCUGGCUAUGCAGCUGCUGAGGUUCUUUUCCAUGAAGAUGGCAGUGUGAAAGGGAUUGCCACAAAUGAUGUUGGUAUCCAAAAGGAUGGGGCACCUAAGGCUACAUUUGAGCGAGGCUUGGAGUUACAUGCCAAAGUCACAGUGUUUGCAGAAGGUUGUCAUGGACAUCUUGCAAAGCAAUUGUACAACAAAUACAAUCUAAGGGAGAACUGUCAACCCCAGACAUAUGGGAUUGGACUUAAGGAGCUGUGGCUUAUCAAUGAAAAUAAAUGGAAGCCAGGAAGAGUGGAGCACACUGUUGGCUGGCCUUUGGACAGACACACAUAUGGAGGAUCAUUUCUUUAUCAUCUCAAUGAGGGUGAACCACUAGUAGCUCUUGGGUUUGUGGUUGGUUUGGAUUAUCAAAACCCAUUUUUGAGCCCGUUUAAGGAAUUUCAGAGGUGGAAGCACCAUCCCAGUGUGCAGCCUACUUUAGAAGGCGGAAAGAGGAUUGCUUAUGGUGCCCGAGCACUUAAUGAAGGUGGUUUCCAGUCCAUACCAAAACUCACCUUCCCUGGUGGACUCCUCGUUGGAUGUAGUCCAGGCUUUAUGAAUGUUCCUAAGAUUAAAGGUACCCACACUGCAAUGAAGAGUGGCAUGAUGGCUUCAGAAGCCAUCUUCAACCAACUCACUAAAGAAAAUCUCCAAUCAAAAACAGGGCUAAAUGUAUCUGAAUAUGAAGACAACUUGAAAAAAUCAUGGGUAUGGAAAGAACUCUAUGCAGUCAGGAAUAUCCGCCCUUCCUGCCAUGGAGCCUUGGGUGUGUAUGGAGGAAUGAUUUACACCGGUAUAUUUUAUUGGAUAUUAAGAGGAAUGGAGCCUUGGACCUUAAAACACCCUGGGACAGAUGCAAAGCAGCUAAAGCCAGCUAAAGAGUGCACCCCUAUUGAAUACCCAAAACCUGAUGGAAAAAUCAGUUUUGACUUGCUUUCAUCAGUGGCUCUAAGUGGUACAAAUCACGAACAUGACCAGCCAGCUCAUUUGACUCUAAAGGAUGACAGUGUACCUGUCAACCACAACCUAGCUAUAUAUGAUGGACCUGAGCAACGAUUCUGUCCUGCAGGAGUGUAUGAAUAUGUUCCUGUGGAAACUGGAGAUGGACUGCGGUUACAAAUAAAUGCUCAGAACUGUGUCCAUUGCAAAACAUGUGAUAUUAAAGAUCCCAGCCAAAAUAUUAACUGGGUUGUACCUGAAGGUGGAGGUGGGCCAGCUUAUAAUGGAAUGUAAUCUUGAUCGCAGCUGAAAAACCUUCUUGUCGACAGGAUUAUACAGCUGGAUAUGAAAUACAUACUAAAUAUCUAACUGGGAUACUUACUUCCUUCAAAUCCACACUGCAAUCUUCGGGAAAGUCUGCGUAAGUAUCCCCAGAACCAUCCAUGGGAGAGAUUCCCCAGUCAUCACCUUGCAGCUCUCCACAAUCUGCGAUGACGCACAACUGUAAAAAGAAUAAAUGGCAUGCAGCAUUUAUUAAGAAAACAGUUUUCCAGAUCUAAGGUCAGGAAAAAGCGCCGACCUUGGAGCUGAAGAUUUGUGCUCAUAUUGCCCUCCCGCUACUCCUCACGGCUGGCACAGUGAGAACCUCUGAGGUCUUCAUCUGAGAAAAGUGAUUCUGGAAACAAAGAGGGUAUUCUGGGGCAUGGGGACAGAAGGAGACUGUCCAGCUGACCUGCACGGUGGAAGGUGGAGAGAUGGACUGCCCCAAUGCUACUCCCACCCUGUAUAGCAUUCCCAUGGCGAUCCAAGCUCAGAGACUUACAGGCCUCCCCAGUGAAUUGUGCUCUAAACCACUUUUGUGUUCAUGCAUCGAAAGCAAAAACACUAAAUAAAGUCUCAGAAUACUGGCAACAA